GACGAACGCUGGCGGCGUGCCUAAUACAUGCAAGUUGAGCGCUGAAGGUUGGUACUUGUACCGACUGGAUGAGCAGCGAACGGGUGAGUAACGCGUGGGGAAUCUGCCUUUGAGCGGGGGACAACAUUUGGAAACGAAUGCUAAUACCGCAUAAAAACUUUAAACACAAGUUUUAAGUUUGAAAGAUGCAAUUGCAUCACUCAAAGAUGAUCCCGCGUUGUAUUAGCUAGUUGGUGAGGUAAAGGCUCACCAAGGCGAUGAUACAUAGCCGACCUGGGAGGGGGAUCGGCCACAUUGGGACUGAGACACGGCCCAAACUCCUACGGGAGGCAGCAGUAGGGAAUCUUCGGCAAUGGACGAAAGUCUGACCGAGCAACGCCGCGUGAGUGAAGAAGGCUUUCGGAUCGUAAAACUCUGUUGGUAGAGAAGAACGUUGGUGAGAGUGGAAAGCUCAUCAAGUGACGGUAACUACCCAGAAAGGGACGGCUAACUACGUG
rnacentral:rRNA from 1 species